rnacentral:lncRNA from 1 species
CUGCGUUAUCUGGGCGGGCCAGUGUCAUCACAAGGACUCUUACAAGGGGAGCACUAGACACAAAAGGAGAAGGCAAUGUGUGACCGAGCAGAGCUUCGGAAGGAUGCUUUUUAAAGAUGGCGGAAGGAACACAGGCAGCCAGUAGGAGCUCGAAAGGCAAGGAAGCGGGUUCUCCUCCCACCGCUCCCUGCAGGUGCUGGCGUCCCUAUCAUCACUCCUAUCUGUGUCCCCCCCUUGAUGUUCUCUUGACACUCAUUGUAGCCUGAUUCCACCUGUCUUCACUCGUUGGGACGGAGAAAGGAUGAGGUGAGCCCUCCAGGUCUCCUCUCUGUUGUCCUGCUUACACACUAACCCAGAAUUAUUUUUCAGAGCUUGAUUCCUUCCCUGCGUUCGGGGCGAAUGAGGAGUCUCCCCUACCUAGCACUCACAGCGCAAAGCCAGGUUGUGUCCCAGGGAGUUUGACUGCUCCAGACUUUGGAGGGAGGGCACUUGAAGAACUUUCCAGCCUUUGGAGGUGGGGGGUGGGCAUUUGACUCCACUGCCACGGUGCUCAGAUUAAUGAUAAGCCUGUAUUGCGUUCCCUGGCCAGUCACUUCCAGGGGGUUUUGCAAGGAUCCACGAGCUAGGAUUUGGAAAGAGCUCCGUGGAAUCGUACAUAAAUAAAAAGGCUCACAGGUAGUGAUCGUGAUGCCCUGUAGGGAGUCCUCUUAAAAUCCCAAAGCACCGAGAAACCUGCAUUGCUCCCGAGUCAUCGAUACCUGAUGCACGCGUGCACGUGGCUCUGUUUCUACCUGGUACGUUCAUAGCUGCAGUUACAGGCCACUCACGAUGUACCAGGCAGUGAGUGCCGCUCGUGGUGUUCACUGUCUCGUGGACGUAGGGAGAUAAGCUGUGACCUGUGUGUCGCAUUCCUGGGAGGAAAACAAAGCCGCCCCCCCCCCCACGUGCUGACAUCUACCCCGACGUCGCCAGCAGCGUAGCGGACAGUGGCUGGAAUCAAUUCCUGCAGUCGAGCCUUUGCUUCGCAUAUCUCUGCUCCUUGAGGCUGUGGCCUCCUUCCCCCAGUAAGCACCAUGCCAGGGUCUUAAGACGCCGGGAACUCGGAGUUCUGUGGGGAGGCUGUUUUCCUGACUGUGGUCUCCCCGGCCUACAGCCCCUCCCGGAACGCUCUAAAGCACUUCUCAGAAGCACAUUCGUGGUUUGGCUCACUUUCUGAGAAACAGAUAGGAGGGUGAAGAGGGACUUUCAACUAUGGAAAACCAGAGCGAAUAGGCACAGAAUGGUACAACUUGU